rnacentral:rRNA from 1 species
GUGGGGGAUAUUGCACAAUGGGGGAAACCCUGAUGCAGCAACGCCGCGUGAGGGAAGAAGGUUUUCGGAUUGUAAACCUCUGUUCUUAGUGACGAUAAUGACGGUAGCUAAGGAGAAAGCUCCGGCUAACUACGUGCCAGCAGCCGCGGUAAUACGUAGGGAGCGAGCGUUGUCCGGAUUUACUGGGUGUAAAGGGUGCGUAGGCGGCGAGGCAAGUCAGGCGUGAAAUCUAUGGGCUUAACCCAUAAACUGCGCUUGAAACUGUCUUGCUUGAGUGAAGUAGAGGUAGGCGGAAUUCCCGGUGUAGCGGUGAAAUGCGUAGAGAUCGGGAGGAACACCAGUGGCGAAGGCGGCCUACUGGGCUUUAACUGACGCUGAAGCACGAAAGCAUGGGUAGCAAACAGGA